rnacentral:rRNA from 1 species
AUGGGGCUUGUAUUGUGGCAUUCAUUGUUUCUCUUCUUAAGUUUGGUUUCCACGUCAUGGAGUUUGAAUUCAGAUGGUCGCGCCCUUCUUGCUCUGUCCAAAAAUCUCAUAUUGCCUAGUUCCAUAAAGUCAAGUUGGAAUGCUUCUGAUACAACCCCAUGUAACUGGACUGGAAUUAGUUGUGAUGAAAGGAACAAUGUGGUUUCUCUUGACCUAACAUCGUCUGGAGUUUCUGGUUCAUUAGGAGUUCAAAUAGGUCUUCUAAAGUACAUACAAGUCAUCAUUUUGCUAAACAAUAGCAUAUCUGGUCCAAUCCCUCAAGAACUGGGCAAUUGUAGCAUGCUUGAACAGUUGGAUCUUUCCAUGAACUUCCUUUCUGGUGAAAUACCAGAAUCACUGUCCAACCUAAAAAAACUAUCAUCAUUCUCGUUGUACACUAACUCCCUCAGUGGGGAAAUACCAGAGGGGUUGUUCAAGAACCAGUUUCUGCAGGACGUGUACCUCCAUGGGAAUAAUCUCAGUGGUUCUAUCCCUUCAUCAGUUGGUGAAAUGACAAGCCUUAGAUCAUUUUGGUUGACGAAGAAUGCAUUAUCUGGAGGUCUGCCAGAUUCAAUUGGCAACUGCACCAAGUUGGAGGAGCUCUAUCUACUGGAUAAUCAGUUGAGCGGGAGCCUUCCAAAAACCUUGAGCUAUGUCAAAGGACUGAAAGUUUUAGAUGCCACUGGAAAUAGCUUUACCGGAGAGAUUGAUUUCAGUUUUGAGAACUGCAAGUUGGAGAUAUUCAUAUUGUCGUUCAAUCAUAUGAGUGGCGGUAUUCCAUCAUGGCUAGGGAAUUGCACUAGCUUGACACAACUUGCACUUGUCGACAACCGUUUCACUGGCCAAAUUCCGGCUUCUCUUGGCCUAUUGAGCAACCUCACCUUGCUUAUGCUUUCUCAAAACUCCUUGUCUGGCUCAAUCCCUCCUGAGAUUGGUAACUGUUGGUUGCUGGAGUGGCUAGAGUUGGAUCAUAACAUGCUCGAGGGCACUGUUCCUAAAGAGCUGGCUAAUCUGAGACACUUGCAGAAGCUCUUUCUUUUCGAGAAUCGCCUGACCGGGGAGUUUCCUGAGGGUAUUUGGAGCAUCCGGUACCUUCAAAGUGUUCUUAUUUACAGCAAUGGUUUUACUGGGAAGCUACCUCUUAAGUUAGCUGAAUUGAAGUUAUUGGAGAACAUCACAUUGUUCGAUAAUUUCUUCACCGGAGUCAUACCCCCGGGUUUGGGUGUUAAUAGCCCUUUACAGCAAAUUGAUUUCACCAACAACAGUUUUACCGGUGGAAUACCUCCGUACAUUUGUUCAAGGAAAAGACUCAGGGUGUUGGUUUUGGGUCUCAAUCAUCUGAAUGGUAGCAUCCCAUCCAAUGUUGCAGAUUGCCCAGGUUUGGAACGAAUCAUUCUCAAAAACAAUGAUCUUACUGGGCCCAUUCCACAUUUUAGAAACUGUGCAGCGCUGGGCUAUAUGGAUUUCAGUCAUAAUUCUUUAAGUGGAGAUAUUCCAGCAAGCUUGGGAAAAUGCAUAAAUACUACAAUGAUAAACUGGUCAGCAAACAAACUUGUUGGUCCAAUACCACCUGAAGUUAGAAACUUGGUGAAUUUGGAAGUUCUUAACCUCUCACAAAACAGUCUACAGGGUGCACUUCCAGCUCAGGUUUCUAGUUGCUCCAAGCUGCUUAUUUUGGAUUUGAGUUUUAACUCUCUGCAUGGUCCGGCACUCACGACAUUGGUUAUGCUUCUUGAGCUGCAACUUGGUGGCAACAUUCUUGGAGGCAGAAUCCCUUCGUCGUUAGGAAAGUUGAUCAAACUCAUUGCAUUCAAUCUCAGCAGCAACGGACUGGUGGGUGAUAUUCCAACACCAUUGGGCAAUUUGGUGGAACUGCAAAGUUUAGAUUUGUCAGUUAAUAACCUCACUGGAGCUCUCGGCGCAUUAGGGAGUCUACAUUCAUUGCACGCCUUGAAUCUUUCCUAUAAUAGGUUCAGUGGACCAGUGCCAGAAUAUCUUCUGAAAUUUCUGAACUCCACACCAAGCUCUUUUAAUGGAAAUUCGGGUCUCUGUAUCUCUUGCCGUGACAAUGAUUCUUCUUGCAAGAGAUCUAAUGUGCUGAAACCUUGUGGAGGAUCAGGGAAAAAAGGAAUAAAGCGUCGAUUCAAGGUUGCUCUUAUUAUUCUUGGUUCAUUGUUCAUUGGAGCAGUAGCGGUACUUAUCCUCUGCUGUAUCCUUCUAAAGAAUCGAGAUUCGAAGACAAAAAGUGAGGAGACAAUCAGUAAUUUGCUUGAAGGCUCUUCUUCUAAAUUAAAUGAGAUCAUAGAAAAGACAGAAAACUUUGAUGACAAGUAUAUCAUAGGCGCAGGUGCGCAUGGGACUGUGUACAAGGCAAUAUUGAAUUCAGGGGAGGUCUUUGCCAUAAAGAAGCUUGCGAUUUCAGCGCGCAGCAGCUCCUACAAAAGCAUGAUCAGAGAGCUGAAGACACUUGGUAAAGUUCGGCACAGGAACUUGAUAAAGCUGAAGGAAUUUUGGGUGAGAGGCGACUCUGGGUUCAUACUGUAUGACUUCAUGGAGCAUGGUAGCCUCUAUGAUGUCCUGCACAGGAUCCGGACGCCGAGUCUGGACUGGAGCAUGCGCUAUAACAUAGCUCUUGGAACUGCCCAUGGUCUGGCAUAUCUUCACCAUGACUCUGUCCCUGCGAUCAUUCAUCGAGAUAUUAAGCCAAGCAAUAUAUUGUUAAACAAGGACAUGGUGCCGCGCAUCGCGGAUUUCGGCAUAGCAAAGAUCAUGGAUCAGUGUUCUGCUGCUCCACAGUCCACCGGGGUCGUCGGCACCACUGGAUAUAUGGCACCAGAGCUGGCAUUUUCCACCAGAAACAGUAUCAAGACCGACGUGUACAGCUACGGCGUCGUCCUGCUCGAGCUUAUAACAGGAAAGACGGCGGUGGAUCCCUCAUUCCCGGAGAACAUGGACAUUGUCGCCUGGGUGCCCCACGCCCUGAACGGCGCUGAGCAGAUCGGGCCCGUCUGCGACCCGGCCCUCCUGGACGAAGUGUACAGCACUGUCGAAAUGGAGGAGGUGCGCAAGGUCCUGCGCUUGGCCCUUAGGUGCACAGCGAAGGAGCCGAGUCAACGACCGUCCAUGGUCGACGUCGUGAAGGAGCUGACUGACGCGAGGUUCGCGGGCAUCCCUUCGUCGUCGAAGCAGGGGAAGCCGGGCUCCUCCUCCGGCGGCGGCUCUUCUUGA